GUUGGAGGAGAGUAUCUAAGGCAAAAGACAAUAAAUCUGAGAUCCAAAGUGAAACAUUGCAAGUUGGUGAGUUUAAGUUGACACCAGUGGAGCCAGAGGCCAGCUUCUUCAGCAUUGAUAAUGAACAGUUUGAUGCAUACCCGGUACAUGUUAAAAUUCUUCCAAAUAAAUUGAGGUUUUUCAUCAAUGAGGAAACAAAUCAGACAAGGUGACCAUGGAGAAAUGCAGAUAGUAAACAACAAAGAUUGAUGUACUCUGGGUCAGCUGUGCUCACAAUGCUUAUGACAUGGACAGAACACCAACUGAUUACAUGUCUUGUUGAGGUUCCUUGUGGCAGUAUAUCAGACAGCAACAAUGCAACUCGAUUUGUUCUGUUAUUACUCUCAAUUUAUUGCCUCCAAUAAUUCUAUUUCAGUUCAUUGGUAUCGAUUUAUUGCAUAAUAGAACUGUGUGGAUAAAGAACAUUUAUUAUUUUAUAAUUAUUAAACUGAUAUGAAAGAAGAAA